rnacentral:lncRNA from 1 species
UGGGCUAUUAUAAGUUUGUACAAAUCUUCUAAAAACAGGGAUAGCAUUUCUUCUAUAAUGAAACCAUUAUCCAAAACCCAUCUACAAAAACAGCAAAAUAUUCUUUAUUGAAGAAAAAUAAAUCUAGUCCUAGCAGAAGAACCACACAUGACAUGGCUCUGAGAAAUCACAGGUGAAAAACAAAUCAAAUGAAACCGACUCAAAUGGGGAACAAGAAACAACAGGCAUGUACUGGUAUAUAAUAUAUAGAUAUCUACAGUGCAGAAUACAUCCAAAUCAAGUAGUGUUGCAGAAAAAUAAAAUAAUAAAACAUUUCAGCUAACUUUCCCCAUAUUUCCAGGUUCUCCAGGAAUCCUGGUUGGAAGAUGCUCGAUUUCUUCUUGUUCCCUCCAACCUGGAUUUCUGGAGAAUUUGGGAAAAAGUUACUGGAAUUUUGCUACACUAAAUCAUACACAAUUCCAACAGAUACAGGAAUGUUAUGGUCAGGAGAAGGGACAUAACAAUAAUGUGAUUGAUGAUUUUGUAAUGUUUCAUAACCAAGGGAAACAAGGGUUUGGACCAUGGAAAUAAACAACACUCUAGAUAUGUAGAGUGUACCAAUAUGUAUACUGAACAAAAAUAUAAAACGCAACAUGUAAAGUAUUGCUCCCAUGAGCUGAAAUAAAAGAUCCCAGAAAUGUUCCAUACGCACAAAAACCUUUCUCUAAUUUUGUGCACUAAUUUGUUUACAUCCCUGUUAGUGAGCAUUUCUCAUUUGCCAAGGUAAUCCAUUCAACUGACAGGUGUGGCAUAUCAAGAAGCUGAUUAAACAGCAUGAUCAUUACACAUGUGCACCUUGUGCUGGGGACAAUAAAAGGCCACUGUAAAAGUGUGCGGUUUAUCACACAACACAAUGCCACAGAUGUCUCAAGUUGAGGGAGUGUGCAAUUGCCAUGCUGACUGCAGUAAUGUCCACCAGAGCUGUUGCCAGAGAAUGUAAUGUUAAUAUCGCUACCAUAACGUCAUUGUUUACAUGUUGCGUUUAUAUUUUUGUUCAGUUGUGUCACAAUAGAGGAAUAUUUUACAUUCAAACAGAAAUUAGGAGAAUGAAUUAAUGUUCGUCUUUCAUCAAGGCCAUUGGAGAAACAGGACAAGUGAUCAAAUAGAGAGGCGAAACAGAAAGGUGGGGGAGAAAAAUAAGUGAUAUUAACAGGAAGUCACCAAGUGCCUGAAUUUAAGCCUCAGUCAGAUAAAUAACAACGUGAUAUAGUGAAAGCCUCGUCUGUAAUGCAGUAGCUGGAAUCAUACCGGCAUAGCAGACUUUACAAAUCAGGAUUAUAAAUAACAUACAUUGUGUAUACAUUUACACAUGUAAACAUUCUCCACCCUACUCUGACCACCUGACAGGCCACGGCAUAUUUCUGGUUUGAUACAGCAUGCGUGGACGACAUCCUGUUACUCUUUUUGGUUUGACUUGUGCUGAGAGCUACAGUAAGUCCCAAUGAACGCCAAGGAAACUGGAACUCACAGGACAUAAGUCGUGAGAGCUGCUUGCAUAUUUGUUUUUCCUAGGGAGGUUUUUACCGCAGUCACAAAGUCAAUUGUCUAUAUUAUAAAAAUGUUAUUUUUGGUGUUAAUUUAAGGCUAGGCAUAAGGUUAGCAGUGUGGUUAAGGCUAGGCAUAAGGUUAGCAGUGUGGUUAAGGCUAGGCAUAAGGUUAGCAGUGUGGUUAAGGUUAGGUUUAAAAUAACAUUUUAGGAAAAUGAAUUGAAGAAAUGGGCAGGGUUUACGACUUCACGGCUGGGGUAACUAGUAUCUCGCCCCAAAAUCUCAUAGGAAAAACUCAUUUGCGAGCUUCUUAGCUUACACUUCUGGGGCGUGUUCAUUAGGGUACACCAUUGAUAAUAGCUUUGAAAACUUUUGUAACGUAAACAUAAAUUGUUUGUUAUUGGACCAGUACAGUUCAGAGAACACUCGGCACCAUUAGGCUGUACCAGGUCUGCAGCCCUGUUAUAUUUUCUACAAAAUGCCUCUAUACCUUCCUUCCUUCCUAAUUGUUCUGAUUUUACAUGGUCUGUUGACUGAUGUGAUGGAGAGAAAACAACCACAUGACAGACCAGAUAGAAAUCAAGAAAGGACUGAAGGAUGAAUUCAACAGGAUCUGUCUUCAGGGUAACCAGAGGAAUACGGCCCUGUACACUGACCCAGGCAAACAGGAUCUGUCUUCAGGGUAACCAGAGGAAUAUGGCCCUGUACACUGACCCAGGCAAACAGGAUCUGUCUUCAGGGUAACCAGAGGAAUACGGCCCUGUACACUGACCCAGGCAAACAGGAUCUGUCUUCAGGGUAACCAGAGGAAUACGGCCCUGUACAGUGACCCAGGCAAACAGGAUCUGUCUUCAGGGUAACCAGAGGAAUAUGGCCCUGUACACUGACCCAGGCAAACAGGGGAGUCAUUUCAUUGGUUCCUUUUCGCCAGCAGAAUCAUGAUAAACCGGGGAAAGAUUGGUUUUGCUGCAAGCGUUGUACAUAAAAACGGUUGAACAGAUUCAGCAUAUUCAAUAAAACAGCACCAACUCUUUUAUUGUACACAUCGGACAGUCUAACAGAAGUUGUUUUUGGAGACUGACUUCCGCCCUCUUUGAAGCAGAGGCCCUGCCCUCACUGUUUCCUGCCCACUUCCUGGUUACGUCAAUAGAACCCCAGGGCCACGUUCAGCAGCCAAAAUUUUGCAAAUAGAAACACCAGAAAUAGAGCCAACAUGAUUCCUUAUUCUACAGGUCAGAGAGGCAUGUUUGUUCUACAUAGCAUAUUUCUAUCUGAACGUUCCCCAACAUUGCGUCUUGCUGAACGCGCACCCCCAGGGGGAAUGGAUCAUUAUCACUGUGGCAGAUGAAUUGUAAACAACAAGGCUGCGUUCAGCAGCGCACACUGUUGUGGAAUGUUAAGAUAUGUUUUUUGUAGAACUAACAUGCCUCUGACCUGCAGGAUAAGGAAUCAAAGCUCUCUUCAUGAUAUUUAUGUCUGCAACGCUCCACAACGUUUGGUUUGCAUACUGAAUGAGACAAUGACCCGUCUACCCGGCACAACGCCCCUCUACGUACAGCCCGUCUUCCCGGCACAACGCCCCUCUACGUACAGC